CUACGGGGCGCUGCAGUAGGGAAUCUUCCGCAAUGGACGAAAGUCUGACGGAGCGACACCGCGUGGUGGAUGACGGCCUUAGGGUUGUAAACACCUUUUCUACCGGAAGAAAAUCUGACGGUACGGUAGGAAUAAGGACCGGCUAAUUACGUGCCAGCAGCCGCGGUAAUACGUAAGGUCCAAGCAUUAUCCGGAAUUAUUGGGCGUAAAGCGUCCGCAGGUGGUGAAUUAAGUUGAUUAUUAAAUACCAAAGCUCAACUUUGGAACCGUAGUCAAAACUAAUUUACUAGAGAUGUGGAGAGGUGAAUGGAAUUAUGCAAGUAGGGUUAUAAUCCGUAGAUAUGCAUAGGAUCAUCAAAAGCGAAGGCAGUUCACUGGACACAUUCUGACACGCAACGACGAAAGCGUGGGGAGCGAAAGGGAUUAGAUACCCGCGUAGUC
rnacentral:rRNA from 1 species